rnacentral:tRNA from 1 species
CGUGCUCGUGGCCGAGGAGCGCGGCGUCGAUCUGGGCAUCGAGGCGAGCGAACCCGCGACGGUCAUCGGCGAUCCGGAUUCGUUGCGCGUGA